AUGUAAUGUUUAUGUUCACAAGUAUUUAACUCAAACAAAGGAAGCUCCUGGCUUACUCCCUAUAAACCCACAUAGGGAAGAAAAAAGUGAGUAAAUCUUGGGAAAGAUCAUGCAGAGAGUGGGUCCCUUUUUGAAAAAUCUCUAAAAUACAGAUGAUUGUAAAUCAUGCAGUGACUUGAUCAAAGUCCUUUUUAUUUUUUUACUGUCCACCACUGAUUGUGACUAUAUGUAUCAACUAAUGACUAAUGACAACAUAAAAGAUCUAACACUUGUUUUUUACUGUUUAGGUCUACAGCAGAACUUGAGUCCUUUCACAACCACAUACUGAUGUAUGCCAGCAAGAGAUUCAGUUUCACCCCGCCCGUCUAUUCAGCUCGCACCCUACUUGCUGGUUUGGAUUAUAAUCAUCAUGUCCACCGACCAGUGCAGAGAAAAGCUGAUGGCUCCAUUGAAUACCGGAAGCUGUACAACAAGAAGUCGCGGAAGUGGAGCCUGUACACAAUGAAGGUCGACAAGGACUAUGGCUACAUUCCUGACCUCUAGAGGGCCAUCCUCCGUAGCCGCACCACAGCAGACAGAGGCAUGCCGCGUGUGAGACGCCAGAGGCCUGAUGACCCGCGGCAGUAUGGUGUGCUAUGUGGUAUUCCACCUCCAACCACAGAGGAGCUACUGCACACACAAGUCAGUCGACGACAAGGGCCAAGGACUACCUAAGUGAGCAGCCGACCAUAGGAGAAGACGUGACCCCUGCGACACCUCACCUGAGUCGAUCCCACCUACACCCCUACUAUGGCCACCACUCAAAAAUACUGACCAGGGGUCAGACAUGUUCUAUAGGCCUAGCCCCACUGAAAGAUGGUGUACUUAUUUUUUAAUUUACCUUUUUUUAAGCUUUUUUUGUGGUGUGUUAUGAAUGUUUGGGAUUGUCAUCUAUAUUUUUGAAUGUAAUAAAAGUGUUACCCAAGUGA